AGUUGUUAUUAUUUACAUUGAGGAUGAAUGAUGCUAAUCAAAUGGUGAUAAGAGCUUCGCCAAAAAAAAUCAUCAACUUACAAUUAUUCGCUAACAUUAUAUCAAUGUCUUUCAACAUGGUCCCUGUCUUGUUGAAAAUCACCAACUCAGAAAAUCACAAGUCACAAGAGACUUAAACUUAAAACAUUAUAUCACUUUAAUAUGUUUAUACUAAAAGCCAUUAAAAAAAAAAAAAAACUUAAAUAUUUCAUAUUAAUAACAACCGUUUAAAA